rnacentral:rRNA from 1 species
UUAAGCGACUAAGCGUACACGGUGGAUGCCCUGGCAGUCAGAGGCGAUGAAGGACGUGCUAAUCUGCGAAAAGCGUCGGUAAGGUGAUAUGAACCGUUAUAACCGGCGAUGUCCGAAUGGGGAAACCCAGUGCAAUUCGUUGCACUAUCGUUAACUGAAUACAUAGGUUAACGAGGCGAACCGGGGGAACUGAAACAUCUAAGUACCCCGAGGAAAAGAAAUCAACCGAGAUUCCCCCAGUAGCGGCGAGCGAACGGGGAGCAGCCCAGAGUCUGAAUCAGCUUGUGUGUUAGUGGAACGGUCUGGAAAGUCCGACGGUACAGGGUGAUAGUCCCGUACACCAAAAUGCACAGGCUGUGAACUCGAAGAGUAGGGCGGGACACGUGGUAUCCUGUCUGAAUAUGGGGGGACCAUCCUCCAAGGCUAAAUACUCCUGACUGACCGAUAGUGAACCAGUACCGUGAGGGAAAGGCGAAAAGAACCCCGGCGAGGGGAGUGAAAAAGAACCUGAAACCGUGUACGUACAAGCAGUGGGAGCACCUUCGGGUGUGACUGCGUACCUUUUGUAUAAUGGGUCAGCGACUUAUAUUCUGUAGCAAGGUUAACCGUAUAGGGGAGCCGCAGGGAAACCGAGUCUUAACUGGGCGUUAAGUUGCAGGGUAUAGACCCGAAACCCGGUGAUCUAGCCAUGGGCAGGUUGAAGGUUGGGUAACACUAACUGGAGGACCGAACCGACUAAUGUUGAAAAAUUAGCGGAUGACUUGUGGCUGGGGGUGAAAGGCCAAUCAAACCGGGAGAUAGCUGGUUCUCCCCGAAAGCUAUUUAGGUAGCGCCUCGUGAACUCAUCUUCGGGGGUAGAGCACUGUUUCGGCUAGGGGGUCAUCCCGACUUACCAACCCGAUGCAAACUACGAAUACCGAAGAAUGUUAUCACGGGAGACACACGGCGGGUGCUAACGUCCGUCGUGAAGAGGGAAACAACCCAGACCGCCAGCUAAGGUCCCAAAGUCAUGGUUAAGUGGGAAACGAUGUGGGAAGGCACAGACAGCCAGGAUGUUGGCUUAGAAGCAGCCAUCAUUUAAAGAAAGCGUAAUAGCUCACUGGUCGAGUCGGCCUGCGCGGAAGAUGUAACGGGGCUAAACCAUGCACCGAAGCUGCGGCAGCGACACUAUGUGUUGUUGGGUAGGGGAGCGUUCUGUAAGCCUGCGAAGGUGUGCUGUGAGGCAUGCUGGAGGUAUCAGAAGUGCGAAUGCUGACAUAAGUAACGAUAAAGCGGGUGAAAAGCCCGCUCGCCGGAAGACCAAGGGUUCCUGUCCAACGUUAAUCGGGGCAGGGUGAGUCGACCCCUAAGGCGAGGCCGAAAGGCGUAGUCGAUGGGAAACAGGUUAAUAUUCCUGUACUUGGUGUUACUGCGAAGGGGGGACGGAGAAGGCUAUGUUAGCCGGGCGACGGUUGUCCCGGUUUAAGCAUGUAGGCUGAUUGUCCAGGCAAAUCCGGAUAAUCAAGGCUGAGGUGUGAUGACGAGGCACUACGGUGCUGAAGUAACAAAUGCCCUGCUUCCAGGAAAAGCCUCUAAGCAUCAGGUAACAUCAAAUCGUACCCCAAACCGACACAGGUGGUCAGGUAGAGAAUACCAAGGCGCUUGAGAGAACUCGGGUGAAGGAACUAGGCAAAAUGGUGCCGUAACUUCGGGAGAAGGCACGCUGGUGUGUAGGUGAAGUCCCUGCGGAUGGAGCUGAGACCAGUCGAAGAUACCAGCUGGCUGCAACUGUUUAUUAAAAACACAGCACUGUGCAAACACGAAAGUGGACGUAUACGGUGUGACGCCUGCCCGGUGCCGGAAGGUUAAUUGAUGGGGUUAUCCGUAAGGAGAAGCUCUUGAUCGAAGCCCCGGUAAACGGCGGCCGUAACUAUAACGGUCCUAAGGUAGCGAAAUUCCUUGUCGGGUAAGUUCCGACCUGCACGAAUGGCGUAAUGAUGGCCAGGCUGUCUCCACCCGAGACUCAGUGAAAUUGAACUCGCUGUGAAGAUGCAGUGUACCCGCGGCAAGACGGAAAGACCCCGUGAACCUUUACUAUAGCUUGACACUGAACAUUGAGCCUUGAUGUGUAGGAUAGGUGGGAGGCUUUGAAGCGUGGACGCCAGUCUGCGUGGAGCCAACCUUGAAAUACCACCCUUUAAUGUUUGAUGUUCUAACGUUGGCCCCUUACCGGGGUUGCGGACAGUGUCUGGUGGGUAGUUUGACUGGGGCGGUCUCCUCCCAAAGCGUAACGGAGGAGCACGAAGGUUAGCUAAUCCUGGUCGGACAUCAGGAGGUUAGUGCAAUGGCAUAAGCUAGCUUGACUGCGAGCGUGACGGCGCGAGCAGGUGCGAAAGCAGGUCAUAGUGAUCCGGUGGUUCUGAAUGGAAGGGCCAUCGCUCAACGGAUAAAAGGUACUCCGGGGAUAACAGGCUGAUACCGCCCAAGAGUUCAUAUCGACGGCGGUGUUUGGCACCUCGAUGUCGGCUCAUCACAUCCUGGGGCUGAAGUAGGUCCCAAGGGUAUGGCUGUUCGCCAUUUAAAGUGGUACGCGAGCUGGGUUUAGAACGUCGUGAGACAGUUCGGUCCCUAUCUGCCGUGGGCGCUGGAGAAUUGAGGGGGGCUGCUCCUAGUACGAGAGGACCGGAGUGGACGCAUCACUGGUGUUCGGGUUGUCAUGCCAAUGGCACUGCCCGGUAGCUAAAUGCGGAAGAGAUAAGUGCUGAAAGCAUCUAAGCACGAAACUUGCCCCGAGAUGAGUUCUCCCUGAGACUUUAAGUCUCCUGAAGGAACGUUGAAGACGACGACGUUGAUAGGCCGGGUGUGUAAGCGCAGCGAUGCGUUGAGCUAACCGGUACUAAUGAACCGUGAGGCUUAACCUU